UACGGAAGGCAGCAGUGGGGAAUAUUGCACAAUGGGCGCAAGCCUGAUGCAGCCAUGCCGCGUGUAUGAAGAAGGCCUUCGGGUUGUAAAGUACUUUCAGUCGUGAGGAAGGUGUUAAGGUUAAUAACCUUAGCAAUUGACGUUAGCGACAGAAGAAGCACCGGCUAACUCCGUGCCAGCAGCCGCGGUAAUACGGAGGGUGCGAGCGUUAAUCGGAAUUACUGGGCGUAAAGGGCACGCAGGCGGUUAAUUAAGUUGGAUGUGAAAUCCCCGGGCUUAACCUGGGAAUGGCAUUCAAGACUGGUUAGCUAGAGUCUUGUAGAGGGGGUAGAAUUCCAUGUGUAGCGGUGAAAUGCGUAGAGAUGUGGAGGAAUACCGGUGGCGAAGGCGGCCCCGUGGACAAAGACUGACGCUCAUGUGCGAAAGCGUGGGGAGCAAACGAGGAUUAGAUACC
rnacentral:rRNA from 1 species